AUACCAUCAGUUUGCAUCAGCAGAUGGGUCCACAGCAAUGGAGUUGUUCAGGAUGGUGGAUAAUACAAGCAUGUUGGAAUUACUAUGGAGGCACAAUGCUUACAAGAAACCCAACUUGCAAAACUAAGAUUACAGACGGAGUCUCGCGCUAUCGCCCAGUCUGGAGUCCAACG